rnacentral:rRNA from 1 species
UGGGGAAUAUUGGACAAUGGGGGCAACCCUGAUCCAGCCAUGCCGCGUGGGUGAUGAAGGCCCUAGGGUUGUAAAGCCCUUUCGGCGGGGAAGAUAAUGACGGUACCCGCAGAAGAAGCCCCGGCUAACUUCGUGCCAGCAGCCGCGGUAAUACGAAGGGGGCUAGCGUUGCUCGGAAUUACUGGGCGUAAAGCGCACGUAGGCGGCUUCUUAAGUCGGAGGUGAAAUCCUGGAGCUCAACUCCAGAACUGCCUUCGAUACUGGGAAGCUCGAGUCCGGGAGAGGUGAGUGGAACUGCGAGUGUAGAGGUGAAAUUCGUAGAUAUUCGCAAGAACACCAGUGGCGAAGGCGGCUCACUGGCCCGGUACUGACGCUGAGGUGCGAAAGCGUGGGGAGCAAACA